rnacentral:rRNA from 1 species
UACGUAGGUGGCAAGCGUUGUCCGGAUUUACUGGGCGUAAAGAGCGCGCAGGCGGUCGUGCAAGUCGCGUGUGAAAGCCCCCGGCUCAACUGGGGAGGGUCACGCGAUACUGCUCGACUUGAAGGCAGGAGAGGGGAGUGGAAUUCCCGGUGUAGUGGUGAAAUGCGUAGAUAUCGGGAGGAACACCAGUGGCGAAGGCGACUUCCUGGCCUGUUCUUGACGCUGAGGCGCGAAAGCUAGGGUAGCAAACGGG